rnacentral:rRNA from 1 species
UACAGAGGGGGCAAGCGUUGUUCGGAAUUACUGGGCGUAAAGGGCGCGUAGGCGGCCUGUUAAGUCGAACGUGAAAUCCCCGGGCUCAACCCGGGAACUGCGUCCGAUACUGGCAGGCUUGAAUCCGGGAGAGGGAUGCGGAAUUCCAGGUGUAGCGGUGAAAUGCGUAGAUAUCUGGAGGAACACCGGUGGCGAAGGCGGCAUUCUGGACCGACACUGACGCUGAGGAGCGAAAGCCAGGGGAGCAAACGGG